AGGCAGCAGUGGGGAAUAUUGGACAAUGGGCGCAAGCCUGAUCCAGCAAUGCCGCGUGUGUGAAGAAGGCCUGCGGGUUGUAAAGCACUCUCAGUAGAGAAGAAAAGCCUACGCUUAAUAACCGUGAGUCUUGACGUAACCUACAGAAGAAGCACCGGCUAACUCCGUGCCAGCAGCCGCGGUAAU
rnacentral:rRNA from 1 species